AUUUACAAAAAGGAACGAAGCUACCAGCACAAACAAGGAGUAGAAAAGAUCAUGAAUGCUGGAGGUGAUUUUAAUAGAUCUCAGCGCUGGGCUUUUCCCAGAUUCAAGAUAUCAAUGCCAAUGACAAAGAAGAGGCCACAACUUGGUUCCCUGAGGAGGUACCUGUGUAUGAAGAACCAUAUGGAAGGAAAUUACUCAUUUGGUAAUAACUGUAAGAGGACCUAAUGUCAUUCAUUUAACAUUGAGUUUCUCUAGCUUUUGAUGGGGUUUAUGAUCUUACGCCUGAAAAUUGAGUUGAACUGUUUAUUCCUUCCUUCGCAUUCUAUUUUGUUUCCUUGAAAGAGGACUCCAGUUUUCCUAAGCAAGAAGAUAAAGGACAUGAACUGACAGAUCAAGCCUACAUGACCAGUCACACAGCCCAGGGAUAGUUUACAUCAUGGUGCACAAAUGUCUCUGUGCCUACAGUCAGAAAAGAAAAAAAAAAUGUUGUAUAUGGGUUGUAUAUGGUCCCAGUUUGUCUAAUGAAAAAAAAAAUUCCACAUUCUUUGCCACGAUAAAUUAAAAUGAACAUAUUCUCAGAGCAGUAUGCUUAAGUGCAGAAACUUCCUACUGAGGGCAAGAUCCAACAGCUAGCAUUCUGAGACUUAUUAGAACGGCACCUCUUCACGAAAGCACUAAAAUGAAGGCAAAUAUAAGUAAAUCUUGAAUGAAUGCAUCUCAUCCUUGCUCAUUGUUUUGAAACUAAGAACUGGAAAUAUACAUACCCUUCUCAAAACUGAGGACAUAUUAUUUGUCUAGAACUGAGUUCAAAGCCAGGGUUUCUUUUCCUCUUGUAAGGUAAUAGUAAGGAAAUUAAUUCUCUUCCCGGGUCCACAAGGGGGCAUAGUUUCAAAGGCAAGAACUUCCCAGUGCCAUACCUCCUCCCAUGUCUCUAACUUUGUUAAAACUUUGUUUAAACUUUCACAAAUGAGGGAAAAAAUCAAAAGUCAAUCACUCCAGCAGAAGUUAAAAGGAACUCCUUUCAUAGGAAGGGAAAAUUAAAUGGGGCGGGAAUUCUUCUGAGGUUAAAAGUCCUCGUCA
rnacentral:lncRNA from 1 species